rnacentral:snRNA from 1 species
GGAUGUGAGGGCAAUCUGGCUAUGACAUCUGUCACCCCAUUGAUUGCCAGGGUUGAUUCGGCUGAUCUGGCUGGCUAGGUGGGUGUCCCCUUUCUCCCUCACCACUACAUGUCCCUCCCGAAGCUGCACGCUUGGUCAAAGAGAACGGCCUUCCCAGAAUAGAGACUGACCAGUCUUUGGUCGAAGGUAUACGAGUAGCUGCACUCCCCUGCUAGAACCUCCAAACAAGCUAUCAAGAUCCCCAUUUCUCCUAGUCCUGGUACCUUUAGGACUAUGCCCAUACUUCUUGAUAUUUUUUCUCUAUG